UACGGAGGGUGCAAGCGUUAUCCGGAUUCACUGGGUUUAAAGGGUUCGUAGGAGGGCAGUUAAGUCAGUGGUGAAAUCUUCAAGCUUAACUUGGAAACUGCCUUUGAUACUGCAGGGCUUGAGUUCGGUUAAGGCGGGCGGAACUGGUGGUGUAGCGGUGAAAUGCAUAGAUACCACCAAGAACCCCGAUUGCGUAGGCAGCUCGCUGAGCCGAAACUGACGCUGAGGCACGAAAGCGUGGGGAGCGAACAGG
rnacentral:rRNA from 1 species